AGAUUAUAGAUCAAGUCUUCUAGGGGCCGAAGCCAUCACAGCCGAGGAGAGAGCUCUAAAGGAGAAAGCUCUCAUGCAGUCAACUCAUAUGGUUUUGCACCAUAUAUACUAUGCAGUUUGGACGACGUGGGGUUACUAGUGACCCCACAAUCAUAUAGAGCAAUACCCGACUCUCAGAGUUAGCGGCAUGGUAGAGGAUCGGUCUAGAUCACGGCACCUUUAACUCGAUCGGAGGAUGGAGAGCUCGUCCACAUUCAGAGCCGUUCAAAGUACAUUUAGAGAGCCUGGGGUGUCUCAUGUAGUUACCGAGAUUAUCCAAUGAUUGAUGUUGGGGCCGAUGAAUAAAUUCUCCAAUUGGCCGUCGGAGGCUCGUGAUGCAGCCUGGGAGAUAUUCCUGAUAAAUCAAAGACGUUUAAUUUUUAAAUUCAUGGUGGAUUUGUAUUCUAUUUAUUAAUACAUGCUUGCUUCUACUUAUAAGAA